AUUGAACGCUGGCGGCAUGCCUUACACAUGCAAGUCGAACGGCAGCACGGGUGCUUGCACCUGGUGGCGAGUGGCGAACGGGUGAGUAAUACAUCGGAACAUGUCCUGUAGUGGGGGAUAGCCCGGCGAAAGCCGGAUUAAUACCGCAUACGAUCUACGGAUGAAAGCGGGGGACCUUCGGGCCUCGCGCUAUAGGGUUGACCGAUGGCUGAUUAGCUAGUUGGUGGGGUAAAGGCCUACCAAGGCGACGAUCAGUAGCUGGUCUGAGAGGACGACCAGCCACACUGGGACUGAGACACGGCCCAGACUCCUACGGGAGGCAGCAGUGGGGAAUUUUGGACAAUGGGCGAAAGCCUGAUCCAGCAAUGCCGCGUGUGUGAAGAAGGCCUUCGGGUUGUAAAGCACUUUUGUCCGGAAAGAAAUCCUUGGCCCUAAUACGGUCGGGGGAUGACGGUACCGGAAGAAUAAGCACCGGCUAACUACGU
rnacentral:rRNA from 1 species